rnacentral:rRNA from 1 species
GACGAACGCUGGCGGCGUGCUUAACACAUGCAAGUCGAACGGUAAGGCCCUUCGGGGUACACGAGUGGCGAACGGGUGAGUAACACGUGGGUGAUCUGCCCUGCACUUCGGGAUAAGCCUGGGAAACUGGGUCUAAUACCGGAUAGAACCACUGCCUGCAUGGGUGGUGGUGGAAAGCUUUUGCGGUGUGGGAUGGGCCCGCGGCCUAUCAGCUUGUUGGUGGGGUGAUGGCCUACCAAGGCGACGACGGGUAGCCGGCCUGAGAGGGUGACCGGCCACAAUGGGACUGAGAUACGGCCCAGAGUCCUACGGGAGGCAGCAGUGGGGAAGAUUGCACAAUGGGCGCAAGCCUGAUGCAGCGACGCCGCGUGAGGGAUAACGGCCUUCGGGUUGUAAACCUCUUUCAGCACCGACGAAGCGCAAGUGACGGUAGGUGCAGAAGAAGGACCGGCCAACUACGUGCCAGCAGCCGCCGUAA